AUAUAUAUAUAUAUAGUCCGGCUAUGGUUCUUGUAAAAGCACCAAGUACUUGGUGCUUAUAAAUUUUUUACCGUUAGAUCUACACCUUUGAUUAUUUUUUCCCGUUAGAUUAUACUAUUCAACCAACCACCGACUCAACUCUAGGGGGGCCCACAUCAUCCUAACCGCACAUCCCUUAAUCCAAAGGCCGAAAACUUACAAGUACCAAUGACUUGGUACUUUAAAAACAUAGGAGUAUAUAUAUAUGUUGUGGUUUAUUAGAGACGAAGAGAGGAUGGGUUUAGCUGUGAAUCUGUGACCAUUUAAGGCGAAACAAAAUUGUGAUUUCCAUUCUCAGCAGUGCCGGUAGCAUUGGCGCAGUCCGUUCGCAAAUCUGACAGACAGAUCUCCCAUAAUAGCACGAUUACCGAGAAGUGGUCAAAAUCUGCGAAACGGAGUUUUCGCAAAAGUCCCUAUAUUUUAUGUACCAAAUCGCACAAAAUCGCACGUGGAGGUGCGUACACACAUUUUACACGUGCUGUGGAGGGCUUGAUUGUAAUUUUGCAAAGGUGAGGGUGUUUCCUGCAUUUUUACAUCUUGCAUAUAUAGGGCCAUUUAGGGUUUCUUCACCUACAAACCCUAACCUUAACUCUACCUCGCACAACCCGAGCCCCCAGUCACCUCCCAUCCUUCCUCUGUGUGCGCCGCGCGCUUCCUAGCCGCCGGCGACCGUGCUCCGGCCGGCUAAACACCGCCAGGACCAUCAUCACCUUUCUCUCCAUCACCCCCACCACCACCUCCCUCUCCUUAUCUACCGAGGACAAGGCAGGGUGCACCCUCACCCUCGGGCCCCACACCGACACCACCUUGGACCCCCGGCGAGGCCGUCCCGCUGGCCGCAGCCGCUUUCAAGCGUCGCCGCUGCAGCUGCUGCAGGUUUACUGCCAGCCUAGGCUAGCACGGCCGCACUGAGCCACGCCGCCGUCCGCUGUCUCUCUCCCUUCCUCUUGGUCCCAGAGGAAGCCCACGACCCUCCCCCAACUGCUCCGGCCAUCGCCAUCGCCGGAAAAGGAAGCCAAGCUCGAGCAGCAACUGUGGGGGCUCAGGUUGUCCCUACGCCGCCGCCGUCGCCUCCCGCCAUCGGCUAGCGCGAGCGCCAACCUUCCCCGUUGGCCGCACCUCCCUGCCGCCGGCGCACCUACCGCAGAGCCACCGCCGGCCGGGCUUAGCCCCCUUUCUCCCAGCAAGCUCGGUUAGGGCUUGUUCUUAGUGUUCUUCACUGUUCCGGCGACCCAAGGCUGCUCCGACGCCUCUGAAGGUGAGCAUAGUGACCCUUGGACAGUGCUGAUCAUAGUGCUCACCAGUUUCACUUUUGGCGAGGCCCGGAUCACUGAUUUCGCUUUUGUCGCUCCACGGGCGCAUACCUCACUGAACUUUAACUUGCUCCUACACACUCCGUAGUGAGUUGUGGUACUCCGGAUAGUGAGCACGGCCUUCAUCUCGUCGAGACCUUUCAGCCCGUGCCNAUAUAUAUAUAUAGUCCGGCUAUGGUUCUUGUAAAAGCACUAAGUACUUGGUGUUUGUAAAUUUUUUACCGUUAGAUCUACACAUUUGAUCAUUUUUUUCCGUUAGAUUAUACUAUUCAACCAACCACCCACUCAACCCUAGGGAGCCCACAUCAUCCUAAUCGCAUAUCCCUUAAUCCAAGUACCAAUGACUUAGUACUUUUAAAAACAUAGGAGUAUAUAUAUAUGUUGUGGUUUAUUAGAGAUGAAGAGAAGAUGGGUUUAGUUGUGAAUCUGCGACCAUUUAAGGCGAAACAAAAUUGUGAUUUCCAUUCUCGCCAGUGCAGGUAGCAUUGGCGCAGUCCAUUAGCAAAUCUGACAAAGGAAUCUCCCGUAGUAGCACAAUUACCAAGAAGUGGUCAAAAUCGACCAAACAGAGUUUUCGCAAAAGUCCCUAUAUUUUAUGUACCAAAUAGCACAAAAUCCCACGUGGAGGUGCGUACACGCAUUUUACACAUGCUGUGGAGGGCUUGAUUGUAAUUUUGCAAGGGUGAGGGUGUUUCCUGCAUUUUUACAUCUUGCAUAUAUAGGGCCAUUUAGGGUUUCUUCACCUACAAACCCUAACCCUAACCCUAUCUCGCACAACCCGAGCCCCCAGUCGCCUCCCAUCCUUCCUCUGUGUGCGCCGCGCGCUUCCUAGCUACCGGCGACCGUGCUCCGGCCGGUUAAACGCCGUCAGGACCAUCAUCACCUUCCUCUCCAUCACCCCCACCACCUCCUCCCUCUCCUUCUCUGCCAAGGACAAGGCAGGGUGCUCCCUCACCCUCGAGCCCCACACCGACACCACCUUGGACCCCCGACGAGGCCGUCCCGCUGGCCGCAGCCGCUCUCGAGCGUCGCCGCUGCGGUUGCUGCAAGUUUACUGCCAGCCGAGGCUGGCGCGGCCGCACCUAGCCACACCGCCGUCCGCCGUCUCUCUCCCUUCCUCUUGGUCCCAAAGGAAGCCCACGACCCUCCCCCAACUGCUCCGGCCAUCGCCAUCGCCGGAAAAGGAAGCCAAGCCGAAGCAGCAACUGUGCUGGCUCAGGUUGUCCCCACGCCGCCGCCGUCGCCUCCCGCCAUCGGCUAGCGCGAGCGCCAACCUUCCCCAUUGGCCGCACCUCUCUGCCGCCGGCGCGCCCGCCACCGAGCCACCGUUGGCCGAGAUUAGCCCCCUCUGUCCCAGCAAGCUCGGUUAGGGCUUGUUCUUAGUGUUCUUCACUGUUCCGGCGACCCAAGGCUGCUCCGACGCCUCUGAAGGUGAGAAUAGUGACCCUUGGAUAGUGCCGAUCAUAGUGCUCACUAGUUUCACUGUUGGCGAGGCCCGGAUCACUGAUUUCGCUUUUGUCGCUCCCGGGGCGCAUACCUCACUAAACUUCAACUUUCUCCCACACACUCCGCAGUGAGUUGUGGUACUCCGGAUAGUGAGAACGGCCUUCAUCUCGUCGAGACCUUUCAGCCCAUGCCUCAGCUGACCCCGAGAAUGCUCAGAUGGCAGUACAAAGCCCUGAAACCUCUUUAAUUGCAUGUAUUAUUGUGAUCGUGGUUAGUGGUAUGGGCUUUUAUGCAAUUUGUCACGUUAGAGCUAUUGUGGGUAGUGUGUAU
rnacentral:lncRNA from 1 species